UCAUUCAGCAGCAUCUAUAACAGACUGUACACUAGCUGAUGUGAUUUGCACUGGCCAAUCUUGAAAAUCUUUAGGGCACAAAGUUCCAUUCUAAAUGGAGAGAACCGUGAAAGAUCCAGGUGAAUGUUACAUGUGGAUGGAUUACGUUGACUAAACCUUCAUCUAUUGGGUCUAAAUCCAGUAGAGUACAUGUAAUCUUUUGGGUUGUUAUGAAUGGAUGAACUGCAUAAUAUACUGCUAUGGUUAUUUGUGGAAGAGAAUUGUCAAGUGUCAGGGCACUGCCAAAUGUUUGUAAUUACAGUAUUGUAGCGGAAGAAACAGUUUCAUUUGAAUACAUUUCUCUGUUCCUAUUAAUCCCUUGUAUAUAUUUGUGAUAACUAAUGUUUUCUUAGUGCCUCUGGAACAAAUACUGUGAACAGUGAACAACUUUAAAUAUCACAUAGCUGAGAAAAUAUUUAUUUAAAUAUUAAAAGUAGUAUUUCACAACAGCAGAGUAUUACUGAUACUUUUUAUAUCCUCUUUUCUAGAACUCUACCUUAUACAAAGAACACGAUUUCUGGCCAUAUGUAUCUUCAGAAUAUCAUACACAAACCUAUAUUUACUAUGGAAGGAAGGGUGCACGUUACUAUGCUAUCUGAUACCAUUUGUGUUAAUAUGGAGCACAGAAGUUCAGGUACCAUUAGAUGUCUGCACAUCCCUCGUCUUGGUGUGGAGACAGUCUGUAAAGAUGGAGCCUUGCAUAGCAUCCUCUGGUAAGUCUCAGCUUGUGUAGCUGCAAAAUUUGUUGCUUCAGCAGUACUGUGGAAGGCUGCAGUGAAGGACUACAGCUGCUGACAGUCUUUUUGCCUCUGGCAGCCUUUUACAGAACCUUCACCGCAGGGCCUGGGUAGCAACUGCCCAUGUUCAGUCCAAUGCCAUGUAAACCAGGAUAAAUGAAGUGAGGUAUUGGGUCCUCACACUUUUGUUAUGCUUUGGAAAUGAGACAAGAUUAACUUCCUAUGUUUCUCAGAGGCUGUCAGGUAAUGAACACAGUGAGAGUACUUGUUUUUUUCCUUGUCCUGCACAGGAUGCCAUAUAUAAGCUCAGACAGAUAUUGAGAGAAAAGUUGAAAGACAGCAUCUACAUUUUCUGUACAUUCCCUCCCUCUCUGGCUGCUGCUGGCAUGAUCACACUUCCAAAGCUCUUGGUCCACCUUGCUGUACUCUAUAUGCAGAGUGAGUAAGGGAUGUACUAGAAGGGCCUCCCAAGAGGAGUGAAUUCUGAGUCUGCUGAAUGAAUGUGGAUUGCCACUUGGCAGUAGUCAUAUUGAACAACUGAGGUAUUGCCAUUAUUUCCAGAGUUCAGAGAGUUAAUGUUUUUCCAGCAUCCAGCUGCUGCAUAACUAAGGAAAAAGAAGUAAUCUAGCAGGUAUUGUAAUUUGUUUUCAUACCAGGAUUCAAUUUUUCAGAGAAUAAUAGAAUAUAUCAAAUUUUGACCCUUUGCAAACAGGCUUCAACAUAAAUUAAUUGUUGUGUAAAAAACUGAAUUUAAUAUUUACAGUGUAAUUUGUCACUGGAAUGGAGACUCAAUUAGAGUCUCAAUGAUUUACUAACGACAUUUUAAACAUAAUGUCCAAAUAAUGCUACAUAAGUGAAACAUGAUGUAAUUGAGUGAGCCACUAAGUGGCUCAUCACUGUUGAUUCAUGUGGAAAUCACGCAGAUUUUACUGAUCAUUAUGCAUUCAUUCAGUAUUAAUACAGAUAACACAUGUGCUUCCAUAGUGAUUCCACUGUUACUCAGCAUUCAUUAAGUUUUAAUGUACCAUUAAGAAGGUAUCAAAAGACUCAUCCAAAAAUACCGCCACAAAGGUAGUUUAUUUAAACACAGUUAAAGAAGCAAAAUUCACUUUUAACAUUGAAAUACAAAGUAAGUCGAUAAUGAAUCAGCAGAAAUAUUUUAGUAAAAACUCUGUGUUUAAUUGCAAAUAAGACCAGAAAAAAUAUUUGAAGUAAAAGCAUUCUCCGUGUUCCAGAUUUCUGGACAGCUAGCAGCAUUUCUAUGCAAAAGUGAUCAUGCAGGUAAGUACGUGGCCUUCAUUCCCCUGGUGCCGUACACUAAUCUUCAGCAUAGUCAUUCACUACAGUGGAACUAUUAUUUUUAAAAACAGAAGAGUACAAAUGAUGGCCAGAUUACCUACCAUAUUCAGUUUGUUGGAUGGAGAGUGAAAGGAGAUGAGAAAACCACACCAAUGUUAGUAGCUUGUGCAAAGCUCCCUCUUUUUCACAUUUUUUGCCUGCUAGGCCUCACGUGCGUCUGCUAGCAAAGUGUUUUUCCACGAGUGAACUCUAACAUAUAAGUACAGGUCAGUCAGUCUCACCUCAGUGCUUGGCAAAUGCAUGGAGCAGACCCUCCUGAAAACUAUAUGAAGGCACAUGGAAAACAAAAAGGUGAUUGGUGACAGCCAACAUGGCUUCACUAAGGGCAAAUCAUGCCUGACAAAUUUAGUGACCUUCUGUAAUGGCAUUACAGGAUUGGAUAAGAGAAGAUCAACUGAUGCCAUCUACCUGGACUUGUGCAAAACAUUUGACACUGUCCCACAUGACAUCCUUGUCUUUAAAGGAUUUCAGAAGGUGAAUAAUCACCUUCAUCCAAUUGCUGCAUGAAAUAGUCAACAGAAAUUUUCAUCAGAAAAAUCGAUUGAAAAUUCUUAUGUAAAGGUGGUACAUAUUAGCCAAAGGAAUGUCUUUAUUGUAAGUUGGAGCUAAUGAACAAGUAUCACAGUAAACUGAGCAAUGUACAUACCAUAUCCUUAAGUUUUUAAAUGUUUUGUUCACUGGCUAGUUGAAAAGAUCAUCUUUGAAUCAGAUGAUCACAUCUGUGACUAAAUAUGACUUAGCAAGGUCCUGUUCAGCUGGUUACAUAGUGACUUAGAACCGUUACAUGGAACCAUCUCUCAUGAACUGUUGAUCUUGGACAGAAGACAGAUGUAUCCUACAAGUAACUCACUAUAGAAAAUAGCUUUCUUUCAUUAAAAUUUGUCUUAGAAACCUGGAAUUGUUAGCUUCCCUCAAACAAGGAAAAGCCUCACCAUGUACAGCUGUGCUGUACAUCUACACCACAACAGAAACCAUGAUAGGAGAAAUCACCCUUGUGUAAAACCACUUAUUGUACAUAAAGACACGUAUGGCACAUACAGACUGAAUUGGGAUUGGUGACUUAAUAUCUCUUUCAGUAAAAGAACAGUACACUCAUCCUUGAAGUGAGACACCUGACCAUGUAAGCACUUGGAUGCCCAUUUUUCUCCCAGUCCUCUACAAUUUAGAAGGAAGUGACUUGUGAUCUGCUUCUUCAGCCUUUGUUUCACCCUCUUUGCAUCACAUAGGCAAUGGAGUUUAGAACUGCAGCAGCUUAGCACACUGUAGGGUCUUGCUUUGUAUGUGACCGUUAUACCUGCAAGUGUACCCUGAUGUGAUCCAUAUUUGUGUGCCUCAGUAAGUUUCAGAUUCCAGAAAGCAUUUAACUGACUUGCAGCAUUUGAAGAAAUUGAAUAGUUUCUGCUGACCAUAUCAAUCAUGUUUAGCCAAAGUGGCCAUUUGCAUCUCUCUCCGUAUUUCUCUGUUUAGUUCAAACGCUUCAUGUAGAAAAUUGCUAUUGAUAUUACAGAAGAUGAUUUUCACUUUCUGUUAAAUCAGAGAAAUUUAUUUCACAGUUGCUUAAGGAUUUAUGUUUUUGUCCUUGUUUUACCUCUUCAGUGUAGCCAUUGAGUCUUAGUUCUUGCUCAGGAGCACACAUUAAAAUAGAAGAAACAUACAGGCAGACAAACAUACAUAGCUGGGGGAAACAAAGUUGACUGCAAUAGCAGCUUAUUCAUUGUUUUUGUCAGUAGAAAUAUAUCAACCAUUAGGAAGUCUGCUAGUGGUUAAUGUGCAGUAGCACUAGUACACUAAGUACACUAAGCACACUAGUACUUGGCAAAUAGCCACUGCUGGCCAGAUUUAUUCAACAAUUUCUGCAACUGCAGCUUUUGUGGUCCUAGAUCUCCCCCUGCGCUGAGAUAAGCAUCAAUUCUUUACCCCUGUGGAUGUUCAGUAUUGCAUAAGAAGGCCCAUUAUUUAAAAUUCCCGUUCUUUUAUCACAUUUAAAAAUUUAGUUCUAUGCACUCUACUGUGUUACUGUGUUCUUAUUGCUCUGGCUAUGAUAUUAAAUAUCACAAGCUAAGCAAGGUCAGUCCAACUUAGUACUCAGAGCAAAAGCUUCAAGCAAGCGUCUUUACCCUCUGUGUGAUAUGAGAGAGAUUUGCUUUGAGGACAAAAAUAGGAGGUCUAAGAGGUCUGUUCACGUGAUGUGACAAUUUAGUCAUACAGAGGUGAAAGCCUCAGCUCUCCAGACAUACUGUAUUCUAAAUAAUUAUAUUUUCCAUACCCAACUUUCAACAUUUGCAGAAGAUUCAUCUAUGUCAUUUUAGUGGUACAGUCUACCUCUGAGAGAUAUGUACAAAACAAUUAUCUACAAACACAUUUCAGUUUCAGUGUUUCAAGCCAGUGGAAUCCUUAUCUGAAAAUAAGGGCUAUCAGCCAGUACGCUUCUUUAAAGCCCUCACAUAGCCUAUGUUUCAUGUUUUCUCCUUUGGACCUCCAUAUCAGGUUAUUUCACAAUUAGCAAAAUUCUCUAAUGAGCACACUGAUGUAAAGAAUGCACUAUCUAUUCUUUACAUUGCACUAUGCUUUUUUUCCAUUCUUACCUGUUACAUUUAAAUAUCUGAAUACUACUUGAAAGUAAGACACUAUUUUAAAUCAUCAAAACUUAUGCAGUAAAAUAACCUCAUGCAGUACUCACUGCAUCAAGCUUAUGAUUUAUGAUCUUCACAUAUAGAAUGUAAAUAAUGACUAAUUCAAAGUUUUUUUAAUGGUUAUUUUUUCUCUCUUGUUAGAAAUGUUGACCUUCUUAUGCGAGUCUUAGAGCUCUGACUCCCAUUAGUGUCAGCAGCACACUAAUUCAUAAAUCAGAGCAGGCUUAAAUUUACACCUAAGAAAUGAACAGAGACAGUUGUAAAGGAGUGAUGACUCUAGAAAAAAGAAACAGCUUAAUAUUUCAAGAAUCACUGACCCAGUAUAGACAUCCUUAGGUGCUGUCCUAGUUCAUUUGGCAAGGGAAUGUCUAAUCAAAGCCCCUGCGUACCUUAAGAGACAUUAUUUCAUUAAUUAAUAAUCUGAUUAGGUCCUCCUGACUACAUACUGUGAGACAUCCAAGGAUCCUUCACACUUGAAGAUGUGAAAAUAUCUUAUCAAUUGCACAUUUGUUCAACAUUUAAGUUCAAUAUGAAAUUCAGAUGUGAAAGAAAUCCACAGAGAACUGUAAAAAGGCAACGCACCAUUGCUUUGACAUUAUCUGAACACAGCAACAGUAGAAACAGAACCCCUACACUGACAAUUGCUCUAUUUUUAAAGUUUAACUGGAAACUUUCUUGUCUUUGAAGAUUAAGGGAAUACUUAAUGAACAUUUCUUAGCACACGACAAAUUUUCAUCUUCACAGUAAACUGAAUUGUAGGAGACUUCUGCAGAUUUACAGUUCACUUAACUCAAUGCAACUAGAUACCACGGCUGCAUAAAAACGCAGACAAAUCAGAUGGUUAAACUGGUAAGUGCCCGAUAGAUAUGUAAAUACUUUUGAAAAUUCCAGUUGGUGAUCUGUCUCCAGUUUUUGACACUAAAUUAGUAAGGGAAUAUAAUACUUAAUUCAUACAUGGCACACUGUUAGGUGUACUAUGAAGAAUCGUGCCAAUGCAGUGAAAUUAAAAUAAUAGUUAAGGCUUUGCAUUUUCGAUAUUUCAGUUUAUUCUCUCCAAGGAGAAGGACCAAAGGAAAGGUCAAUCAGCAAGCUAUGUUUUUCUGGAGGAGCUGAAACUGAUCUUAAAGCCUCCCCUUCCUCAUCAAAAUCUCCCUCGCCUCUUGAGGGAUGCUUCUUACCGAGUAAACUUGGGUCAAUAAAACUAGCAAAAUCUCUUCUUACAUUUCCCAAUUCAGUUAUAUGUCAGUUGCUCUGAAAAUAAUGCCUUCAACUUAUUUCCAUGGAAACUACAACAGAUACAGAAGCACAAUAGCACUGCUGGAUAGAGCAAAUUCUCAGCUACAAAACACUACUCUUUAACAUAGUCACCACCAUUAGCUAUGCAUUUUCACCAGUGAUGAACAUCCAUUACCAAGAAUGUGUGAUCUCAUGGUCCAUAUAUCCACAUGAUAUUAAUGAAUGAUGUUAUUCCUUCAUCUUAGAGAUCUUCAUGUUAUAUGCUACAGUAUGCUAGGGCUUGAAUCACAAGUAGUGAGCAAAAACUAGGGCACUGAUUACUAAAUAUACUUCCUAGAAUGGCAGCAUCCAGUGGUUUAACAUCUUUCAGCUGCAAAUAUGAGAGCUCUUGGCGUGGCUUCAUGACUUCUAGUCACCACUGAUGAUUUCCAAAUAUUCCUUGGUGAUGAAUUAAGCUCUCCCAGCCAAACAGCUUCUCUUUUCCAGGUAUCUCUUAAUUGUAUUAAUUAAAGUAGUUGUCUUGAUUUUAUUCUUCUGCAGAGUGAAUAAAAGUAUAAGCUUUAAUAACUAAAAAAUUCGUUUUAAUUCCCAGCCAUCCUUUACUUACAAAGCCUUAAAGGCAGAAUCAGAGUAAGAUCCUCUUGUGCUAUACCAAUAUCUGCUGUUUCAUGAUGAAAAGAAACUGCAUGUCUUUACUAGGGUCUGUUAUUUUGUCUACAUAAUUAUACUGACAUACCAUUUACUGCAGAGUCCUUCGUUUUCUUCCCCAAACAUUUUGUCUACUGUUCAAAAGCAACAAGAGGUAUGACAGAAAUAGUUGCCUUGUGUUGGAAAACAUCUCUAGUACCGUCCCCCAGCUAAGUAUUCUCGGGCCAAAACAAAAACAUACAGAUAUUUUCCAUGCACGUAAGGCAACCUCAACAAAAAUUUAUUUCUGCCAAGCUUAGGCUUGCUGUUGCUAGAAAAAACUUGCUUUAUUACUUAAGAACAUAUCUUCUUGUUUGAACAAUUAACAAACACAUCAAGUUAAUCACCAAGAGCUUUAAUAGAAGAGUUUAAGAAAAAAAUGAUUCUCUAGCAAUAUAAUAGCAAAAUAUUAAAAUCUUUUACAUAUAUGCUGGAAGAAGGGGGGGAAAGGGAAAGUUUUGCUAAACAAUAUUGCCAGCUAGUAACAGAAAAUCUUACUGAACAAUUUCACAGUACAUUGUCUGUACGGUGUGUACACAGUGUCUGUACACAGUGUGUAGACAUUUAAGCUAAUUACCAAGCAAGUUCAGUUACACAGAUGAGAAACCCUACAAUUCAGAAAAGAUGUUUUUAGUCUUAAUCUCUAUUACAUACAAAUUUGCCUUCAGGAGUUCACAUCAAAGGGCAGCAUACUUUUAACAUGGAACUGAAAAACAUAAUAGUAGUACAGUAGUCAAAUGUAAAUAAAAGAAGAACAAAGCAAGGUUAAUUGAUCUUUCCCAAAACCCAGAACGUUUGGACACCACACACUUGGCUGAAAUAAUGAAAUAUCAUGUAGUCUACAGAUGAAGAUUACUUUGUACAAAAUAAGAUUUAGUCACCUGGAGCAGAGAAAACAAAAGUUUGAGAGCAAAUAUGUAACCCUCUCCCACCCAAGAUAUAGACAACUACUUUGCAGUGCAACCUCUCUGUGCCAGUUACAGCUCAGCAUGUUGUACAGGAAUGCUUGAAAAACGGAAUUCAAAUAUCACAACAAACACAGACGCUUUGUAGAUUGAUAAGAAUGCGUUACAGUUUUCAAGACUGUCCCUCAAGACAUAAGGAAAUCUAGAAAGUAUGACCCAGUUAGAUGCUAGAAUACAACUACCUCUUCUAUCUCAAUAAUUUCAAGUGAAAGAUGAAGCAGUGUUUUACAAUCAGACCCCAAAACAGAUCUUUUGAACUACCAUGUAAGGUUUCCCCUUGGAAUCAGCCCCUGGAGGCAAGAACUAGGAGGAAAAGGAAGUGGUGGCAUGCACUGACAGGGGACUAGUUGUUGUAGUUGUAAAGUUGUAGGUGUGAAAA